AUUGAACGCUGGCGGCAUGCCUUACACAUGCAAGUCGAACGGUAACAGGUCUUCGGAUGCUGACGAGUGGCGAACGGGUGAGUAAUACAUCGGAACGUGCCCGAUCGUGGGGGAUAACGGAGCGAAAGCUUUGCUAAUACCGCAUACGAUCUACGGAUGAAAGCAGGGGACCGCAAGGCCUUGCGCGGACGGAGCGGCCGAUGGCAGAUUAGGUAGUUGGUGGGAUAAAAGCUUACCAAGCCGACGAUCUGUAGCUGGUCUGAGAGGACGACCAGCCACACUGGGACUGAGACACGGCCCAGACUCCUACGGGAGGCAGCAGUGGGGAAUUUUGGACAAUGGGCGAAGCCUGAUCCAGCCAUGCCGCGUGCAGGAUGAAGGCCUUCGGGUUGUAAACUGCUUUUGUACGGAACGAAAAGACUCUUUCUAAUAAAGAGGGUCCAUGACGGUACCGUAAGAAUAAGCACCGGCUAACUACGUG
rnacentral:rRNA from 1 species